GCGGUGUGCUUUAAGCAUGCAAGUGGGACGAGUUGUAGCAAUACAACUAGUCGCGAACGGCUGAGUAUAAAAUAGGAAUCUACCCAAUGGUGUGGAAUACCUUAUCGAAAGAUGAGCUAAUACCACAUGACCUCGCAAGAGAAAAGGACUUAACUGUCCGCCGAUGGAUGAGCCUAUUUCCCAUCAGUUUGUUGGUAGGGUAAUGGCCUACCAAGACUAUGACGGGUAGGGGAUUUGAGAGGAUGACCCCCCAGAACAGGACUGAGACACGGCCUGUACACCUACGGGUGGCAGCAACUGGGAAUCGUGCGCAAUGGACGAAAGUCUGACGCCGCGACACCGC
rnacentral:ncRNA from 1 species